AACUAUACAAGAGAGAUCGCACUGUUAGAGAUAACAUUAAAAAAAGAAAGUGAAAAAAGAAAACAGUUUCAAAUCCAACUUACCAAAAUUACAUCUGUAUAUCAGAAUUUUAUGGAAGCCCAUGAAGAAUUUCUCAGCGAGUCAAAGCAAAAGAUUGAAGCUGCCACAAACUUCCUUAACAAGUUAAACCAGGAGAAUGAAUAUCUCAGUAAAGAAAUAAAGAAGUCUAGGGAGAUAGUGAAACACCUCACUGCCAAGCUGCUUAAAAAAGAAACCCACUAUAAGAAACGUGAAGCUAACUUAACAGCAGAACUU